rnacentral:rRNA from 1 species
CUCUAGCAUUAAAAGUAUUAGAGGCACUGCCUGCCCAGUGACUUCAGUUAAACGGCCGCGGUAUCCUGACCGUGCAAAGGUAGCAUAAUCAUUUGUUCCUUAAUUAGGGACUAGUAUGAAAGGCUUGACGAGGGUUUAACUGUCUCUUAUUUUUAAUCAGUGAAAUUGACUUCCCUGUGAAGAGGCAGGGAUACUACAAUAAGACGAGAAGACCCUAUGGAGCUUUAAUUAUAUGGCUUAAUCAAAAAAUUCUCAACCCCUAAUGGACUAAACCAACAAAUGUAAGCCAGAAAUUUCGGUUGGGGUGACCUCGGAGCACAAAAAACCCUCCGAAUGUUUUUAACCAAGACCAACAAGUCUAAGUAACUCAAAAACAUAUUUGACCCAAAUAUAUUUGAUCAACGGACCAAGUUACCCUAGGGAUAACAGCGCAAUCCUAUUUAAGAGUCCAUAUCGACAAUUAGGGUUUACGACCUCGAUGUUGGAUCAGGACAUCCCAAUGGUGCAGAAGCUAUUAAAGGUUCGUUUGUUCAACGAUUAAAGUCCUACGU